CAGCAGCCGCGGUAACACCGAGGGUGCGAGCGUUAAUCGGAUUUACUGGGCGUAAAGCGUGCGUAGGCGGCUUUUUAAGUCGGAUGUGAAAUCCCUGAGCUUAACUUAGGAAUUGCAUUCGAUACUGGGAAGCUAGAGUAUGGGAGAGGAUGGUAGAAUUCCAGGUGUAGCGGUGAAAUGCGUAGAGAUCUGGAGGAAUACCGAUGGCGAAGGCAGCCAUCUGGCCUAAUACUGACGCUGAGGUACGAAAGCAUGGGGAGCAAACAGGAUUAGAUACCCCGGUAGUCCCUGUCUCUUAUAA
rnacentral:rRNA from 1 species